rnacentral:rRNA from 1 species
AGGGCAGACGGUGGAUGCCUUGGCUCUCGGAGGCGACGAAGGACGUGAUAAGCUGCGAAAAGCCCGGGGGAGGCGCAAAUAGCCCUUGAUCCCGGGAUAUCCGAAUGGGGCAACCCGGCAGGUUGAAGGCCUGUCAUCCCGAAAGGGAGGCGAACGUGGGGAACUGAAACAUCUAAGUACCCAUAGGAGGAGAAAAUAAACAAUGAUUCCGUAAGUAGUGGCGAGCGAACACGGAAGAGCCCAAACCCGUGUCGUCUAGGCGAUACGGGGGUUGUAGGACCACGACGUGGCAAGAUAGAGUCAAGUGGAACGCCUUGGAAAGGGCGACCGUAGAGGGUGAUAGUCCCGUACACGACUGACGAUUGAAGCCUAGUGGUAUCCUGAGUAGCGCGGGGCACGAGAAAUCUUGCGUGAAACAGCGGGGCCCAUCCCGUAAGGCUAAAUACUCCCGAGAGACCGAUAGCGAACCAGUACCGUGAGGGAAAGGUGAAAAGAACCCCGAGCAGGGGAGUGAAAUAGACCCUGAACCCGUCUGCCUACAAGCGGUCGGAGCGUCGUAAUGACGUGACGGCGUGCCUUUUGCAUAAUGAACCUACGAGUUACCUUCCCCGGCAAGGUUAAGUUCUUGAGGAACGGAGCCGAAGCGAAAGCGAGUCUGAACAGGGCGCCAAGUCGGGGGGGGUAGACGCGAAACCGAGUGAUCUACCCUUGGCCAGGUUGAAGGUUGGGUAACACCAACUGGAGGACCGGAUGGGUAAGCGUUGAAAAGCUUUCCAAUGAGCUGAGGGUAGGGGUGAAAGGCUAAUCAAACUCGGAGAUAGCUCGUACUCCCCGAAAUGCAUUUAGGUGCAGCCUCUUUAUAGUAUAUCGUGAGGUAGAGCGACUGAUUGGAUGCGAGGGCUUCACCGCCUAUCAAGUCCAGAUAAACUCCGAAUGCGCGAUAUAUAUUUACAGGGAGUGAGGGCGCGGGUGCUAAGGUCCGUGUCCGAGAGGAGAAGAAUCCAGACCACCGGCUAAGGCCCCCAAAUGAUCGUUAAGUUGAACUAACGAGGUCGGAUCGCAGAGACAGCUAGGAUGUUGGCUUGGAAGCAGCCAUUCAUUUAAAGAGUGCGUAACAGCUCACUAGUCGAGCGAUCUGGCGUGGAUAAUAAUCGGGCAUAAACGAUCUGCCGAAGCCGUGGAUGUCGCAAGACAUGGUAGGGGAGCAUUCCAUGCGGCGUCGAAGAUGAGGGAUGACCCUUGUUGGAGCGCAUGGAAAAGCAAAUGUAGGUAUGAGUAACGAUAAGGGGGGCGAGAAACCCCCCCGCCGAAAGACCAAGGUUUCCUGAUCAACGCUAAUCGGAUCAGGGUGAGUCGGGACCUAAGGCAAAGCCGAACGGCGCCGCCGAUGGAAGAAUGGGUUAAUAUUCCCAUACUGCCUCAUGGAGUGACGUGGAGACGGAGAAGUGACAGUCCUGCCGGCUGACGGAAUAGCCGGUUGAAGGGUGUAGGUGUCGAUCGCGGUAGGCAAAUCCGCCGCGAGAGCCGAACCUGACAGUAUACGGAGCGCUUGCGCGACGUAAUAUGGACGUAACCAUGCUCCCAAGAAAAUCCGCUAAACUUAUCCAUGCGGCACCCGUACCGUAAACGGACACACGUGGUCGGGUUGAGAAUACUGAGGCGCUCGAGUGAUUCACGGUUAAGGAACUAGGCAAAUUGACCCUGUAACUUCGGGAUAAAGGGUCCUCGUCGUAAGGCGAGGCGCAGAGAAUAGGUCCAGGCAACUGUUUAACAAAAACACAUGGCUGUGCUAAAUGGAAACAUGAUGUAUACAGCCUGACACCUGCCCGGUGCCGGAAGGUUAAGAGGAGAUGUCAUCCGCGAGGAGAAGCGUUGAAUUGAAGCCCCGGUAAACGGCGGCCGUAACUAUAACGGUCCUAAGGUAGCGAAAUUCCUUGUCGGGUAAGUUCCGACCUGCACGAAUGGUGUAAUGAUCUGGACACUGUCUCAACCGUGAGCUCGGUGAAAUUGUAGUAUCGGUGAAGAUGCCGAUUACCCGCGAUGGGACGAAAAGACCCCGUGAACCUUUACUAUAGCUUUACAUUGA